CGGAAGGAUCAUUAACGAGUUUUGAAAGGGGUUGUAGCUGGCCUUCCGGGGCAUGUGCACGCCCCGCUCAUCCACUCUGCACCUGUGCACUUACUGUAGGCUUUGAAAGCCGUGCUUCUAGCGCGGUGAUCGAGCCUACGUUUUACUACAAACUCUUCAGUAUUAGAAUGUUUAUUACGAUGUUAACGCAUCUAUAUACAACUUUCAGCAACGGAUCUCUUGGCUCUCGCAUCGAUGAAGAACGCAGCGAAAUGCGAUAAGUAAUGUGAAUUGCAGAAUUCAGUGAAUCAUCGAAUCUUUGAACGCACCUUGCGCUCCUUGGUAUUCCGAGGAGCAUGCCUGUUUGAGUGUCGUGAAAUUCUCAAUCUACAAGCCUUUGCGGGCUUAUAGACUUGGACUUGGAGGCUUGCCGGCUUUAAACCGUCGGCUCCUCUUAAAUGCAUUAGCUCGAUUCCUUGCGGAUUGGCUCUCGGUGUGAUAAUUGUCUACGCCGUGACCGUGAAGCGUUUGGCGGGCUUCUAACCGUCUCAUUAGAGACAACUUCAUUGACAUCUGACCUCAAAUCAGGUAGGACUACCCGCUGAACUUAAGCAUAUCAAUAAGCGGAGGAAAAGAAACUAACAAGGAUUCCCCUAGUAACUGCGAGUGAAGCGGGAAAAGCUCAAAUUUAAAAUCUGGCGGUCUUUGGCCGUCCGAGUUGUAGUCUGGAGAAGUGCUUUCUGCGCUGGACCGUGU
rnacentral:rRNA from 1 species